AUACGUAGGGUGCGAGCGUUGUCCGGAAUUACUGGGCGUAAAGAGCUCGUAGGUGGUUUGUCGCGUCGUCUGUGAAAUUCCGGGGCUUAACUCCGGGCGUGCAGGCGAUACGGGCAUAAUUUGAGUACUGUAGGGGAGACUGGAAUUCCUGGUGUAGCGGUGAAAUGCGCAGAUAUCAGGAGGAACACCGGUGGCGAAGGCGGGUCUCUGGGCAGUAACUGACGCUGAGGAGCGAAAGCAUGGGUAGCGAACAGGAUUAGAUCCCCUGGUAGUCCAUGCCGUAAACGGUGGGCGCUAGGUGUAGGGGUCUUCCACGACUUCUGUGCCGUAGCUAACGCAUUAAGCGCCCCGCCUGGGGAGUACGGCCGCAAGGCUAAAACUCAAAGGAAUUGGCGGGG
rnacentral:rRNA from 1 species